rnacentral:rRNA from 1 species
AGAGUUUGAUCAUGGCUCAGAACGAACGCUGGCGGCGUGCUUAACACAUGCAAGUCGCGUGCGCAGUUGCCGUAGCAAUACGGUGAUGGGCGCACGGCGCACGGGUGCGUAACACGUGGGCAAUCUGCCCUUUGAUGGGGAAUAACCCGCCGAAAGGCGGGCUAAUUCCGCAUAAGAUUCCCGGAACUUCGGUUCUGGGAUUGAAAGCAGCAAUGCGUCGAAGGAGGAGCCCGCGCCCGAUUAGCUAGUUGGUGAGGUAACGGCUCACCAAGGCAAUGAUCGGUAGCUGGUCUGAGAGGAUGAUCAGCCACACUGGAACUGAGACACGGUCCAGACUCCUACGGGAGGCAGCAGUGGGGAAUCUUGCACAAUGGGCGAAAGCCUGAUGCAGCGACGCCGCGUGGGGGAUGAAGCAUUUCGGUGUGUAAACCCCUUUCGACUGGGACGAAUGCCUCGCAAGAGGAGUGACGGUACCAGUAGAAGAAGCCCCGGCUAACUACGUGCCAGCAGCCGCGGUAAGACGUAGGGGGCCAGCGUUGUUCGGAAUUACUGGGUGUAAAGGGUUCGUAGGCGGUGCGGCAAGUUGGGAGUGAAAUCUCUGGGCUUAACCCAGAGGCUGCUUCCAAAACUGCUGUGCUCGAGUGUGAGAGAGGCUCGUGGAAUUGCAGGUGUAGCGGUGAAAUGCGUAGAUAUCUGCAGGAACACCCGUGGCGAAAGCGGCGAGCUGGAUCACUACUGACGCUGAGGAACGAAAGCUAGGGGAGCAAACAGGAUUAGAUACCCUAGUAGUCC